UACGAAGGGGGCGAGCGUUGUUCGGAUUUACUGGGCGUAAAGGGCGCGCAGGCGGCCGCAUUUGUCAGGCGUGAAAGCCCCGGGCUUAACCUGGGAACUGCGUUUGAUACGGUGUGGCUAGAGUUCGGGAGAGGAGAGUGGAAUUCCCAGUGUAGAGGUGAAAUUCGUAGAUAUUGGGAAGAACACCGGUGGCGAAGGCGGCUCUCUGGACCGAUACUGACGCUGAGGCGCGAAAGCGUGGGGAGCAAACAGGAUUAGAUACCCUGGUAGUCCACGCUGUAAACGAUGUGUGCUAGACGUUGGGGAGCCUAGCUCUUCGGUGUCGCAGCUAACGCGGUAAGUCUGCCGCCUGGGGAGUACGGCCGCAAGGCUAAA
rnacentral:rRNA from 1 species